CCUACGGGCGGCUGCAGUGGGGAAUAUUGGACAAUGGGGGCAACCCUGAUCCAGCCAUGCCGCGUGUGUGAAGAAGGCCCUCGGGUGGUAAAGCACUUUCAGUGAGGAAGAACGCCUGGUGGUUAAUACCCAUCAGGAAAGACAUCACUCACAGAAGAAGCACCGGCUAACUCCGUGCCAGCAGCCGCGGUAAUACGGAGGGUGCGAGCGUUAAUCGGAAUUACUGGGCGUAAAGCGCGCGUAGGUGGCUUGAUAAGCCGGUUGUGAAAGCCCCGGGCUCAACCUGGGAACGGCAUCCGGAACUGUCAAGCUAGAGUGCAGGAGAGGAAGGUAGAAUUCCCGGUGUAGCGGUGAAAUGCGUAGAGAUCGGGAGGAAUACCAGUGGCGAAGGCGGCCUUCUGGACUGACACUGACACUGAGGUGCGAAAGCGUGGGUAGCAAACAGGAUUAGAUACCCUGGUAGUC
rnacentral:rRNA from 1 species